CCAGGUGCUCCCAGGUGCUAUUGUCUCCGGAUUAAGUUUGCUGCAAGCUGGAGUUCUACAGGAGCCAUUCUCGCAAGCACUUCUCACUCACCCCUGCCAACCCUGGAGGCUUCAGAGGUCUUGAGUCUCAUACUAGUGUAUGAAUCCAAGAUGGAAGAGUGACAUGGCUGGCUGCCAACCUUCUUUGUUGCAAGCUAGAAAAUGGAGAAGUUUUAACUUUGAACAAGAAAUCUUUCCCAUAUAUUCAGAGAUUCAGAAUUUGACCAUGCUAAGAGCUAAGUAUGUAUAAUUUUUCAUCAUCCACCUGAAAAACAGCACCUGAAACUGGGAGCACAUCACAGAGCAGGCAUAAGACUGACAAUGGAACUAUUCUGGGCAACAUUGUCAUUAAGGGACAUGUGACAAUUUCCAAAAAAUGCUCCUUUUAGAAACAUGAGAAAAAACCCACUUCUUUUAAUCUUCAGGAAAAUGAAGUGAUUCCUUAAAAGUAAACACAGCAUUAAGGCAAAACAGUCUUUCCUUAAAAAUCAAAAAUAUUUA